UACGGAGGGGGCUAGCGUUGUUCGGAAUUACUGGGCGUAAAGCGCACGUAGGCGGCUUUGUAAGUUAGAGGUGAAAGCCCGGGGCUCAACUCCGGAAUUGCCUUUAAGACUGCAUCGCUAGAAUUGUGGAGAGGUAAGUGGAAUUCCGAGUGUAGAGGUGAAAUUCGUAGAUAUUCGGAAGAACACCAGUGGCGAAGGCGGCUCACUGGUCCGGUACUGACGCUGAGGUGCGAAAGCGUGGGGGGCAAACAGG
rnacentral:rRNA from 1 species